AUUGAACGCUGGCGGCAGGCUUAACACAUGCAAGUCGAGCGGAGAGAGGUAGCUUGCUACUGAUCUUAGCGGCGGACGGGUGAGUAAUGCUUAGGAAUCUGCCUAUUAGUGGGGGACAACAUUUCGAAAGGAAUGCUAAUACCGCAUACGUCCUACGGGAGAAAGCAGGGGAUCUUCGGACCUUGCGCUAAUAGAUGAGCCUAAGUCGGAUUAGCUAGUUGGUGGGGUAAAGGCCUACCAAGGCGACGAUCUGUAGCGGGUCUGAGAGGAUGAUCCGCCACACUGGGACUGAGACACGGCCCAGACUCCUACGGGAGGCAGCAGUGGGGAAUAUUAGACAAUGGGCGCAAGCCUGAUCCAGCCAUGCCGCGUGUGUGAAGAAGGCCUUAUGGUUGUAAAGCACUUUAAGCGAGGAGGAGGCUACUUUAGUUAAUACCUAGAGAUAGUGGACGUUACUCGCAGAAUAAGCACCGGCUAACUCUGUGCCAGCAGCCGCGGUAAUACAGAGGGUGCAAGCGUUAAUCGGAUUUACUGGGCGUAAAGCGCGCGUAGGCGGCUAAUUAAGUCAAAUGUGAAAUCCCCGAGCUUAACUUGGGAAUUGCAUUCGAUACUGGUUAGCUAGAGUGUGGGAGAGGAUGGUAGAAUUCCAGGUGUAGCGGUGAAAUGCGUAGAGAUCUGGAGGAAUACCGAUGGCGAAGGCAGCCAUCUGGCCUAACACUGACGCUGAGGUGCGAAAGCAUGGGGAGCAAACAGGAUUAGAUACCCUGGUAGUCCAUGCCGUAAACGAUGUCUACUAGCCGUUGGGGCCUUUGAGGCUUUAGUGGCGCAGCUAACGCGAUAAGUAGACCGCCUGGGGAGUACGGUCGCAAGACUAAAACUCAAAUGAAUUGACGGGGGCCCGCACAAGCGGUGGAGCAUGUGGUUUAAUUCGAUGCAACGCGAAGAACCUUACCUGGCCUUGACAUAGUAAGAACUUUCCAGAGAUGGAUUGGUGCCUUCGGGAACUUACAUACAGGUGCUGCAUGGCUGUCGUCGGCUCGUGUCGUGAGAUGUUGGGUUAAGUCCCGCAACGAGCGCAACCCUUUUCCUUAUUUGCCAGCGAGUAAUGUCGGGAACUUUAAGGAUACUGCCAGUGACAAACUGGAGGAAGGCGGGGACGACGUCAAGUCAUCAUGGCCCUUACGGCCAGGGCUACACACGUGCUACAAUGGUCGGUACAAAGGGUUGCUACCUAGCGAUAGGAUGCUAAUCUCAAAAAGCCGAUCGUAGCCCGGAUUGGAGUCUGCAACUCGACUCCAUGAAGUCGGAAUCGCUAGUAAUCGCGGAUCAGAAUGCCGCGGUGAAUACGUUCCCGGGCCU
rnacentral:rRNA from 1 species